rnacentral:rRNA from 1 species
UACGAAGGGGGCUAGCGUUGUUCGGAAUUAUUGGGCGUAAAGAGCGUGUAGGCGGCCAGGUAGGUCAGCUGUGAAAACUCGAGGCUCAACCUCGAGACGCCGGUUGAAACCAUCUGGCUAGAGUCCGGAAGAGGAGAGUGGAAUUCCUGGUGUGGCGGUGAAAUGCGCAGAUAUCAGGAAGAACACCCGUGGCUAAGGCGGCUCUCUAGUACGGUACUGACGCUGAGACGCGAAAGCGUGGGGAGCGAACAGG